rnacentral:hammerhead_ribozyme from 1 species
AUCUAGUUUACGAGUCCCAAAUAGGACGAAAUAUGCGUCCUGGAU